rnacentral:lncRNA from 1 species
GAUAAUACAGAAGGUCAGGGUAAUUCAAUUACUUGCAGUUUUUCUUUCUUUUUUUUUUUUUCCAAGACAGAGUUUCACUCUUGUUGCCCAGGCUGGAGUACAAUGGUGCAAUCUCGGCUGACUGCAACCUCCGCCUCCUGGGUUCAAGUGAUUCUCCUGCCUCAGCCUCCCCACACACAAAAGUAAUGGGAACUGUUCAGCAGUGACAUUAUCAAUUUGAAUUCACUGAUAUUUAAAACUGAUGUGCCUAUUUCCCAAAUGUAUGAUAUUAAAAAUACUUGUUUUAGGUUCUUUGUCCUGGUAAUCCCACUUCUGGGAAUUCUAAAGUAAGUUUUAAAAAGAAAUGUCACAUGUAUUUUGAUGCAACAUUCAUUU